UUUUCUCUAUUUCUUCUAUCCCUCAUAUUAUAUGGAAAGAGAUCAGCAUAUCUAUUUGCCUGUUGUUUCUUCAAUAAAAUUCUCAUGAGGUUAGGUUGCAUCAAUGACAGAUCUAACUAAUUAUGAUUUUUUCUUCUUUGAAAAAUGACUUAGACAAGAUUUAGAAAACUGAUUAAACCAGUGGGUUCAGUCACUUACUAGUUUUCAUCAACUUCUGUUGCUCUUUGGUAAUCAAAUUUUAGAGGAUUCGCUAUCUUAUUUUGUUUUGAUUGUUUCAAUUUCAUUCAGGUACAACUUGGCAGUUCCCCUCUUUACAAGUUAGAUAGAAAGCUGGGCAAAGGGGGCUUUGGGCAAGUUUAUGUUGGAAGACGGGUGAUCGGUGGAUCAGGGCACACUGGCCCUGAUGCUGUUGAGGUUGCUUUGAAAUUUGAGCAUUGAAAUAAUAAAGGAUGCAGUUAUAACCCGCCUUAUGAGUGGCAAGUUUACAGCACUCUUAAUGGUUGUUAUGGAAUUCCUUUGGUCCAUUACAAAGGUCGCCUAGGAAACUAUUAUAUUCUUGUCAUGGAUAUGCUAGGCCCAAGUUUGUGGGAUGUUUGGAACACUAAUAACCAGAUGCUAUCUGAAGAGAUGGUUUCUUGUAUAGUACUAGAGGCAAUAUCAAUCUUACAGCAGCUUUACUUUAAGGGCAGUUGUCUCUGCUUUCAUUUGCUUGAGGAGCAUGAGAGGAGAUUGGAGAGCAUUGCUUACUGUGAGUAUUUUGAUAAUGGAUGGCCCUGUACCCGCUCUAACUGCUAUGGGACCUUGGAAUCAUCUCUUUUGGUUCAGUUUAGUUGUUAUCAUUCUGUUCCUUGUUUGACUAUGUAGUAAGUACCUGAAGGAGUUUUCAUUGUUUGAAUAUAAUUGUUUUCCUUCUUCAACUUUCAUUUUGAGGGUCUGGUCCUGUUUUGGUGUUUUUUCCCUUUUUUUUGGUACAUAGUCUUUCUAUUAUUUUUUACAUGCAACUGACCAUCUUUUGUUCCACCUAUUGCAAUUGUAGCCUUCAAUUUUACGCUUCUUAUCCCAA